CGCUAGCGGCGGCGUGGUCAGAGUGAGCUUUGGAGAAGCCGUGGUGGCUUCCACGUGAUGGUGGAGGAGGAGGCAGGUCUCAGCGGUUCGUCUGGAGUGCUCUAAAUGACACUGUUUCAUUAUUUUGAUGGCCAAGAAUAUUCCCUCAUGUAUGUAUACAAGAGUUUCUUGAUCCCUUUAUCUGUGGAUGAACAGGUCAUUUGCCAUGAUGUCCUCCAGGUUCAAGAUUAUGGCUCCAAAUGAUGAAAUUUCAUUCUGCUUUACUGGCUGAAAACUAUUUGUGUAUAUCCACCACAGUUACUUUAUCCCUUCACCUGUGGAU